CAGCAUCAAUAGCUCCAACUCUCCAACUGCAUGCGAGAGCAACCUGGAGAGACUUUGACAGCUCAAGUCAGCGGAGUACCUGUAGCUGCCACUCAACUUUCCUAUAAUG
rnacentral:snoRNA from 1 species